CUCGGCUGCAGUGACUUCUGCUUGCACACAUUUCGGAUGCCUCAGAGUUGAACAAGGAUGUUGGAAAUCAGAGACGGCUCACAACCUUUUCACCAACGACCUUCUUCAAUGUCCUUCCUUUCACUUGUGAGCUGUGCUGAGCCCUCCCGUUACGAUGGCACAACGAUGACAACUGACUCCGUGUCUGUCCAGAUGUGGUCUCAGGCCUUUCUCAGACAUAGCCGGCCCCAUUUCUAUACGUGCGCCAACUCAAUUCUAUAUUCUGAAGUGGGACUGACAGGGGAAGACAAGAGACCUCAUCUCCCUCCUGUCCACACUGCACAUCGCUGGCUGAUGUAAAUUGGCAAUGGCUCCAUUAAAGUCAGGACAGGCACAGCAGCUGUAUCGUACCUGACGGUCUGCCCCUCCUCUGGGCAACUCAGUUUAUGGCCACAUAGGGACUUUUUUCCCACCUGCGCCGCUGAGCAAACGACCUUGUCACUAAUAUGCGAGUUAUGACCCUUAUGAUACAGUCAUAGUUUUAAAAGUGAGGAAACACGUGUAGGUAAAAGACAAGAUGGUCAGCCAAUUGGGGUCGUAAUUAACCAGUGUCACUAAUGAAGGUGUAAAGCCUGUUUCACAAGACCCUAGCUGAUGGAGCUGCCAGUGACACAAACACAUGGUAGAGCCCCUCUGCAGCUCCACCUUCCUGCCUGCACUACAGAAAUCCCAGUCACCACAGAAAAAGAUACAUAAUAAAAUAAAAUGCUUUGCAAUCUUGAGGAAGUGAUUAAAAGCACAUAAGUUAUAAUGACAUUUUAUAUUUUGAUAUAAAGUUUUCUAUUGUUUACAACGAUAAAUUGAUACACAUUUAUAUCAUCACUGAAUACAAGCAGGUAGAAGAAGCAUCCACCACUAAGGACGCAGUACACAGACCUGCACCGUCCAUGUGUAAGAUGAUCAGAUGGGAAUGAAGCGUGUGCCACUGGACACAAUACGGCAGUGAGACAAUAACAUUACUGCCAUCUUUAAGAGAACACCAUCUGAACAUACUGAACCACAGAACCAUGGGAUCCAAAUGCAGCAAUUGCUGUCCACAGUAAGAAAAACAGCACGGUUUAAUGUCAUAAUCAGAUAUUGGAAGACGCAUAUGUUGCUAAUGAGCCCUUAGCACGUCGACCUGCAAACCUCCUGAUAUUCUGUGAACAUUGCUUAAUGCUCCACGGCGUCUGCUAUGAGGCAACUCAGCCUGUGUCCGAAAGAAUAAACGAAAGAAGUCUAGUAAAGACAGAGUUGCUCAAUGUUCCUAUAAUUUGUCCAUCUGUAGAUUUUGCAGUGCUUCUAUGACAGUGAUACAACGGUAGCAAGAAAUCCUGUGGAGGAAAACCAAAAGGAAUGAGGCUGAUGAGCUAAUGCAGUACCUCAAACAAUUUACUUGUCAUUUAUAAUGGAGCACAGUUGGCUAGGAGAGAAAUGAAAGGAUGCAAAGUCUAAAAUUGAAACCACAAAGUGAUGUUCUGGAGGAAUGAAAAUGAAGGGAGCAAAACAGAAAGAAAAUUACUGCAAAGCAUUUGUGUUUAAACCCAGAAUGUUUGAGUGCAGAAACAUCUAUUGUAAAUUUUAAUUAAAGUUCCUCCCUAUAUAUAAAAGUUUCUCUACACAGAAAAGUAAAAUGGAGGUAAGCAAGAACUUGCCUUUCAACUCACAGGGUAAUACCAGUAUAGCUCCCUGAUCAACCCAUUUGUUAUUAUUACUCAGUUCAUCCUAACCUACUCUAGCAGGGAUUUAAACUAAGGUAGAAAGCCACCCUAAUUUUGGAAUUAAAAUAACCCCAUUGGGACUCAAUUUGGUAUGCCAGUUGAACUAUCCCAGUUAAAUGGUCAAAUUGGUUUAAAAAAAGGAACAAGCCCUACACUAAUAUAAUUGCCCUGUGACCCGUUAAUGACAGAAACAAUAUUGUUUGUUGUUGCCAAUGGAGAGAGCAGUACUGGUCUGACAGAUAGGCAUGUCUUCUGCACCACACCAAUAGCCAUCUUUAUAACCCAAUAGCAUAUUAGAAUUAAAGCUGACAUUUUUAAUA